rnacentral:lncRNA from 1 species
AAGCCUCAACCGCAAAUCAGAUCCAAAUUCCCAAUUCCAAUUCCAAAUUCUAACCCUAAUUCAAAAAUCGAAUUUCAAUUCCAAUUCCAAUUUCAAACAAACCCUGACCCUAAUUCCCAAUUCCAAAAUCCCCAAAUUGAAUUUCCCAAUUCCUAAAUUCGUUCUUGUUUUGGGAGAAGGAAAGACAAGGAAGGAAUAAAGUU